CUCUUGGGCACAGUUUUAAAAAAAAAAAGGAAAAGAAGCAGAGAAGAGACAGCAUUACCUCUGCAAAAACAUCACACCCUGAAAUUACAACACUGGGCGGGAAGUUAGAGGCCUUUACUUUCUUCUCUAGCCUGGAGUUGAGAUCGGCCAGUGACACCUCAGACAGCACCAAGAAGGAGCUGGCAUCUGAGUAGGCAACCUAAGGAAACACAGAA